CGCAGAGAGAGUUCCCGCUGCGCGGCCGGCUGGAGGAGGGCCUGCACCGGCGCUGUGUGGAGACGGCUCUGCAACUCGCUGCCGCCUGGGACCAGCUGCUGCCACUCGGCUAGCUGCGGAUGAAUGCUGGGCAUUGGAAGGGUGUCUCUCUGUAAUGUGGACAGGUGCGGUGCAGAACAGAUGGUUGAGAAGCGGGAGUGUCUGCCAAAAACUGGGCCUCGGCCACUCCCCAGCUCUUCUGAUCGCAUUCCUAACCUUUUUCGCUACAGUUCCUGAGAUUUGCCUCUUCUCUUCUGACCACGUAUCAAUAGUGCUAUGCCAGUUAGCAGGAAAACAACUCUGCAGCCAACAAAAUCGGUAAUCCUAAAAGGAAAAGGGUAUACUACAAUACUAGCAAGAGCCUUAUCUGUGACGUUUUGUCUUCUGCUCUGUAUAUAAGAUAUCUCAAAAUCUGCUGUUUCUUUCUCUCAUGUUAAAAUUCUUAUUUAGACACUCUGUGCUCAUUCCCUACUGUUAUCUUAUUGUCAUUGUUAGUAACUAUAUGCAUGAAAUUAACUAGGAUUAAUCAUGUAUGUAAAAUUCAUCGAAAGUAUUGUACAUAAUUGUUACCAGCCGUUCUCAAAGCAGUGCAAACCAGAGUCAGUGCUAUUGACAGGACUAAAAUAUGUAUGUCCCAUCAGUCUGAGCUUCUCGAACCAGAGUCUACUUUUACAGGAGUACAAUACAUUUGACCAGAGUGAGUACAAUACGACAAAUUAAAAAGAAACUCAUAAAGGUUGGGAUCGGAAUUGGUGUUUAAAGAUAGCUUAUGUGAUAGUUAUAUUUCAGAAUUCAAACAGCAUUGCUAACUGUUUGUUUUGCCAUUUUUGCCCUCUUCUGGCAAGUUUUAUAUAAAUUAACCGAUUUCUGAAGUUCCAGAAGUGGCCAUUCCAUGUUACUCCUCCACACAUGCACUAUCUUUACCAUGAGAAAGCACUCUCUUGUUCUGAAACAUAAACACCUCCUGUGCUUGAUAUUUUUCAUUAAAGCACAGUUUCUGCCACGUAUUUGAAAUUUUGAUUUUCAGGUAACAGAAGUGAGAGGUGUACAUGGGAGAGGUAAAUGUUGCAAGAGGUCCC